rnacentral:rRNA from 1 species
UACGGAAGAUGCGAGCGUUAUCCGGAUUUAUUGGGUUUAAAGGGAGCGUAGGCGGACGCUUAAGCCUGCGGUCAAAUGUCGAUGCUCAACAUCGGCCUGCCGUGGGAACUGGGUGUCUUGAAUGUGCACAAGGUGGAUGGAAUUCGUGGUGUAGCGGUGAAAUGCUUAGAUAUCACGAGGAACUCCGAUUGCGAAGGCAGUCCACUGGGGCAUGAUUGACGCUGAGGCUCGAAAGUGCGGGAAUCAAACA